GAACAUGUAGCUCAACUCAAAUCGCCUUCUUUUGACUGAGAGUGCUGCCAACACUUUUUCUGCUCACGAGUUCCAUUUUUACUUUCUCACAGCCUACUGCAUUGAACUGUCCACCUACUAAACAACUUACAAUACAUCAA